AGUGAACGCUGGCGGUAGGCCUAACACAUGCAAGUCGAGCGGCAGCACAGUAAGAGCUUGCUCUUACGGGUGGCGAGUGGCGGACGGGUGAGGAAUACAUCGGAAUCUACUUUUUCGUGGGGGAUAACGUAGGGAAACCUACGCUAAUACCGCAUACGACCUACGGGUGAAAGCAGGGGAUCUUCGGACCUUGCGCGAUUGAAUGAGCCGAUGUCGGAUUAGCUAGUUGGCGGGGUAAAGGCCCACCAAGGCGACGAUCCGUAGCUGGUCUGAGAGGAUGAUCAGCCACACUGGAACUGAGACACGGUCCAGACUCCUACGGGAGGCAGCAGUGGGGAAUAUUGGACAAUGGGCGCAAGCCUGAUCCAGCCAUACCGCGUGGGUGAAGAAGGCCUUCGGGUUGUAAAGCCCUUUUGUUGGGAAAGAAAAGCAGCAGGUUAAUACCCCGCUGUUCUGACGGUACCCAAAGAAUAAGCACCGGCUAACUUCGUG
rnacentral:rRNA from 1 species